GCCCCGAUAGUGUAGUACGGCCAUCAUCUUCGGCUGUCAACCAAAAACGGGUUCAAAUCCCGUUCGGGGCGCCA
rnacentral:tRNA from 1 species